CGAAAGAGAAACCACGUUCAGGGGAUUUGUGGACACAAAAUACCCUGGGGAGCAAUAGAAUGAUAGCCGUAGAGGAAAUGAGUGGAAAAAAGAGAUGCUUCCUAAGACACUGAGGUCUGUUGGGGUCAGAGGAUGGGACGGACUGAGUAAGAAAGUGGCAGACGAGACGAGUCGGGGGAAUGAUGGAGAAACGGCGAGGAAGCAGUAAAGAGAGAGGAAAACUGGAAGGAAGAGUGGAAGGAAAGAUCAAAUCAGGCAAUGCAGCAAAUGGCUUUGACAUCUGCAUUCCCACUUAGGGGACAGCCGAGCAGCAGAGAGGAGAUGAGAGUAGAGGCGAAACAGAGCAAAGGAGAGAUUGGCAACGUAAAACAUAAAACAACAAAGCGAACAGGCAGGAGAUCAGUUACAAAAUGACCCCCAAUGAGAAUCCCACCUCUCCCCGUCUGGUUGCAGGUGUGUGUGGAGUCAAGUUAAUGUGCUGGCAAAAUCAUUACAACAUUAUACAGUUAAAGUCCUCUGCAGUGGAAACAUCUUGACUGAAUCAUGACCAAAAAGGAAAGAAAAAAAAACCCAAAGCAGCAAUCAAAUGACAACUGAGAUCCUGUGGAUUGAAAGUGACAGCAGUGGUUUGGCUAAAUCCCACUCUGCCUAAGCCAGUCAAGCAAAGGGUUUGAAAAACCAACAAGAACCAAGGCUGAAGGAGGACUCUGACUCUUAAAAUGGGAUUAGGCUCGAGAUCGCUUUAACCCUCGAUAUAAAAGCAUUAAAAAAAGCUGUUAAAAGCAUGAGAAUGUGGUCAGAGCAGGAAGAUUUUGUGUAGAGACAUGAUGUUCAGUUAUGUUAAUUACAGCAGCACUGAAAACCAAAAGAGAUUGGUUUUUUUUUUUAUUAACUAUUUUAUUAACUAUCGAAGAUAAAAAAUGGCGGUACACUG